rnacentral:rRNA from 1 species
AGAGUUUGAUCCUGGCUCAGAACGAACGCUGGCGGCGUGCUUAACACAUGCAAGUCGAACGGACCAAGGGGCUUGCUCCUUGGUUAGUGGCGCACGGGUGAGUAACGCGUGGAUAAUCUGCCCGAUGAUCUGGGAUAACAUCUCGAAAGGGGUGCUAAUACCGGAUAAGCCCACGGGAUCUUCGGAUCUUGCGGGAAAAGAGGGGGACCUUCGGGCCUCUUGUCAUCGGAUGAGUCCGCGUACCAUUAGCUAGUUGGCGGGGUAAAGGCCCACCAAGGCGACGAUGGUUAGCUGGUCUGAGAGGAUGAUCAGCCACACUGGAACUGAGACACGGUCCAGACUCCUACGGGAGGCAGCAGUGGGGAAUUUUGCGCAAUGGGGGAAACCCUGACGCAGCAACGCCGCGUGAGUGAUGAAGGCCUUCGGGUCGUAAAGCUCUGUCUAGAGGAAAGAAGUGUAUGGUGGCUAAUAUCCACUGUACUUGACGGUACCUCUGAAGGAAGCACCGGCUAACUCCGUGCCAGCAGCCGCGGUAAUACGGAGGGUGCGAGCGUUGUUCGGAUUUAUUGGGCGUAAAGCGCGUGUAGGCGGUUUCUUAAGUCUGAUGUGAAAGCCCCGGGCUCAACCUGGGAAGUGCAUUGGAUACUGGGAGACUUGAAUACGGGAGAGGGUAGUGGAAUUCCUAGUGUAGGAGUGAAAUCCGUAGAUAUUAGGAGGAACACCGGUGGCGAAGGCGUCUACCUGGACCGAUAUUGACGCUGAGACGCGAAAGCGUGGGUAGCAAACAGGAUUAGAUACCCUGGUAGUCCACGCCGUAAACGAUGAGUACUAGGUGUUGCGGGUAUUGACCCCUGCAGUGCCGCAGCUAACGCAUUAAGUACUCCGCCUGGGAAGUACGGUCGCAAGACUAAAACUCAAAGGAAUUGACGG